rnacentral:rRNA from 1 species
AUUGAACGCUGGCGGCAGGCCUAACACAUGCAAGUCGAACGAGCGGCGGACGGGUGAGUAAUGUCUGGGAAACUGCCUGAUGGAGGGGGAUAACUACUGGAAACGGUAGCUAAUACCGCAUACCCUCGGAUGUGCCCAGAUGGGAUUAGCUAGUAGGUGGGGUAAAGGCUCACCUAGGCGACGAUCCCUAGCUGGUCUGAGAGGAUGACCAGCCAACCCGGAACUGGGACAACGUCCCAAAUCCUAAGGGAGGCAGGAAGGGGGAAUAUUGCACAAUGGGCGCAAGCCUGAUGCAGCCAUGCCGCGUGUAUGAAGAAGGCCUUCGGGUUGUAAAGUACUUUCAGCGAGGAGGCGUUACCCGCAGAAGAAGCACCGGCUAACUCCGUGCCAGCAGCCGCGGUAAUUC